CCGGCACGGGUGAGUAACACGUAUCCAACCUGCCGUCUACUCUUGGACAGCCUUCUGAAAGGAAGAUUAAUACAAGAUGGCAUCAUGAUCCGCAUGUUCACAUGAUUAAAGGUAUUCCGGUAGACGAUGGGGAUGCGUUCCAUUAGAUAGUAGGCGGGGUAACGGCCCACCUAGUCUUCGAUGGAUAGGGGUUCUGAGAGGAAGGUCCCCCACAUUGGAACUGAGACACGGUCCAA
rnacentral:rRNA from 1 species